AUGAUCAGUUAACAUACGAAAAGAUAUACAUUCACUAGUAAUCAGAGAAAUGAUAAUUAAAUAAUACAUUCCAGUUUUUGUGCAUUCGAUGAUUGAUAAUGUCACUUGUAAAGCAGAGUAUGGCGAAAGGGAGGCUGUUAUGGAGUGAUUAUAAAUCCUCCCCCUCUUUGUCCCAAUGUCCUGAUUUCUUUUUCUUCUUAGAUCUGAUCAGCAUGAACAUAGUAUAUGUUUAACCACCAAAUGCUUCUUUCAUCUACUGGAAUGUGAACUCCAUGAAAGAAGGGGUUUUCCUGAAACCAGGAGGUUUUGAUUCCCCCAAAACAAAUUCCAACUUCCUGGAAGUAAUGCUGUUUUGCAUCAUGGAAAAUAUGGUUCUGAAAGUGUUGGCCUAUUCUUGCUGAUGAAAUCCUGCUAUUAUAUAGGUGAUUAUAAUGAAGCUACCCAUUCCCAGUGGAUUUUGGAAGGAGAGGCAUUGCUGUAGACUUGUGCUGGGAAAGGAAGAAAAUAGCCUUUCUGCUCGGACACCGGGCUUCUGAAAAGGCAGUUCACUCUCCUCCCUCCAGUCUUCUGUGUAUUUUGACUGUCAGAGAUGACGGGCAUUGGGCGUGGUGGAGAAGAUCUUUGGAUUCUCACCUUUCCUUAGGCCUUGAGGGUAAGUGUCUGAUCCCAAUUGCUGAUGAAUCUCUGAGCUUAGAAUGCAAGAACUUUGCACAUUUUGUGUAUCAUUUUGAACUUCUGCAGCAGUUCCUGGAAAACAGGACAAAAUCUUAUAUGGACCUCUAUUACACUCCACUAAAAAUUGUCAGUACCGGAGAUCUGG
rnacentral:lncRNA from 1 species